AACGAACGCUGGCGGCAUGCCUAACACAUGCAAGUCGAACGAGACCUUCGGGUCUAGUGGCGCACGGGUGCGUAACGCGUGGGAACCUGCCCUUAGGUUCGGAAUAACUCCCCGAAAGGGGUGCUAAUACCGGCUAAUGUCUUCGGACCAAAGAUUUAUCGCCUUUGGAUGGGCCCGCGUUGGAUUAGCUAGUUGGUAGGGUAAAAGCCUACCAAGGCGACGAUCCAUAGCUGGUCUGAGAGGAUGAUCAGCCACACUGGGACUGAGACACGGCCCAGACUCCUACGGGAGGCAGCAGUGGGGAAUAUUGGACAGUGGGCGAAAGCCUGAUCCAGCAAUGCCGCGUGAGUGAUGAAGGCCUUAGGGUUGUAAAGCUCUUUUACCCGGGAUGAUAAUGACAGUACCGGGAGAAUAAGCUCCGGCUAACUCCGUG
rnacentral:rRNA from 1 species